rnacentral:rRNA from 1 species
GCAAGUCGAACGGUGAAGGUGGAGCUUGCUCCGCCGGAUCAGUGGAGAACGGGUGAGUAACACGUGGGCAAACUGCUCCAGACUUCGGGAUAACUCCUCGAAAGAGGCGAUAAUAACGAAUACGAACUUUGUAGGCAUCUACGAGGGUGGAAAGUUUUUCGGUCUGGGAUGGGCCCGCGGCCUAUCAGCUAGUUGGUUAGGUAUCGGCUCACCAAGGCGACGACGGGUAGCCGGCCUGAGAGGGCGACC